AAACACCAUCUCUACUAAAAAUAAAUAAAUAAAAAAAUUAGCCGAGCGCGGUGGCAGGCAGGUGCCUGUAAUCCCAGCUACUCCGGAGGCAGAGGCAGGAGAAUGGCGUGAACCCAGGACGGCGAGCUUGCAGUGAGCCGAGAUCACGCCACUGAACUCCAGCCUGGGUGACAGAGCGAGAUUCCGUCUCAAAAAAAGAAAAGAAUUAGAAACAACCUAAAAGUUUAUCAGCAAUAUGUAUGGAUAAAGAAAAUGUACUAUAUAUUUAUACAAUAGAAUAUUAUUCAGCCAUAAAAAGAAGAAAAUUCUGUUACAUAGAUAUACCUUGAGGACAUUAUGCCAAGUGAAAUACGCCAGUACAAGAAAGACAAAUAGUACUUGAUUCCACUAUGUGAAGUAUCUAAAAUAGUCAAACUCAUGGAAAUAUAGAGUAAAAUUAUGGUUUCUAGAUGCUAGGAAGAGGGACAAAUGGGAAAAUUGCUGUUCCGUGAGCAUAAAGUUUUAAUCAUACAAGAGACAAAAUUUUCACAGAUCUGCUCUACAACAUUAUGCUUAUAGUUAACAAUGCUGUACCAUACACCCAAAAUUUAAGAGGAAAGAUCUUACGUGUUUUUUACCACAAUAAAAAAAUUUUGUAACAUUCACAGAAAAAAUUUUUUUUUACUUUAUUUGUACAUAUAAUGGAACCUUUUGAUCUACAGCUCAAAGGCAAAAAGCAAUCAUUCCAAAUUAAAUUAUCUUGGUUAAUAUGGCUGUUUACAAUAGGGAAUAUGGCUCAUCACACUCCAACUGAAAAAUAAAGACUUUCUAAUCUCAAUAGCCUGGCCUGUAAUAAGAAUAUAAAAUUAUAAACGCAAACUUUCAACUCCCAAGUGAAGCAUGAAUUCCAGAGCCACUGUAUAUUGAGAGUGGGGAGAAGUGUAUGCUUAAGGGUAAGAUUCAUAUUUUAUAUUUUAUCUCCCUGGAGGAACAGCGUCUCUCCUCAAAGAGAGAGCCAUCACAGUGUAAAGCAUAAUACAAUGGCAAUCAAAGGGGCAUCCACAGAUAACCAUGUUCAUUACAUUGCCUUUAAUUGCUUUAGCCUAAAAGACAGCAGCCCAAAAGUAUAGAUCCAUGGCAGAUCAUUGUACUUAAACAGUCAAAUAUGUAUCCUUCAUAUUUUAAAAUAUAGCCACUGGCCCACCAAAUAGGAGUUCUACUGUCCACUUCUCUCACACUGCCUUCUACACAGUAUAAAACCUUUCAUCUUGACAUAAUUAGAAGAAUCUUCCAAACAAGUAAAACUAUGACUUGCUCACAUGCCUACUUUUCCCACAUGACCGUGGCAAAAUCAGAUAUUGUCAGACAACUUGAGGACCUCAAUUCACCAUAGAAUUUUCAUAAAAUGGUUAAGAGGUAGGAUCCUAUGGUUCAUGGAGGAAAUUUGGGAAGAAUUCAUGCUUAGGCUAAUAAAAAAUACAGUUCAUUCAUUCAUCUCCAUGAAGACAGGAAAACUAUGCCAUUCUGAUCUUCACUGUAUCAAUCAAUGGUCUGUAAUUGUUCAGUAAAAAUUCUUCAAAUGAAGGAAUGUCCAAAGUUGUCUGGAUUCAGUCUGUAAAAGAGUAAUUAAGCUUUUGCUUUUGCUUAAUAUACAUGCCUUGACAGUAUAUUAAAGUGCUUAAUUAAGCAGCUUUUUUAUGGUCAUUUUGUUCAUAAUUUUAUCCAAAUGAUGAAGUUCAUAAUUACACAAUGUUACAGUUAUGAAUAUAUUAAGGUAGACCUUAAAAGCUCACAGCAAAAGAGUAACACAGUGUCUGAGAUUGUGCAAUGUACCAAAGAGGAUAUUGACUUUACUCUGGAUAAUACGCAGACAAAUUUACAUUUAUGUCUUAAACUUAACCCCUAACCUUAUAAAUGAUUGAAUGCACCCAGUGGCUUAUUUUCUGUAAAUCAGUAAGUAACCUCAAAUGAAUGCAUCAAUUUUCAUAAUGCAUGCAUUGUUAGUAUCAUCUAAUAUUUUUAUUUCAAGUAAAUAACCAUAUUAUUCAUGCUAGUAGCUGGUACAAACCUUUACCAUUCUUCUUAAAUUACUUAGCUGGACUCACCCACUCAUUUUAACAGAUGGCCAAGCCUCCUACCUCACAGAGAAAAUAGCAGCCAUCAGUCACAAACCGCACCUCUUGUAUUAUCUGCAUGUUCCCCAGCUUUCUCUCCUUCCCUUCUGUCCCAAAGGAUGUCUUGCCUGUCUUCCAAAGAUAACACUUUAAUCUGUACUCCUGAUUUCAUCUUCUUCCUUUCUUCCUCUCUAUGUUUACUGAGUGCCUUCUGAUGCCAGAAUAUUCUAAGCCUGGGGACACAGUGUGAAACAAGACACAAAGCCCCUCUCCUUGUGGACUUUGCAUUCUAUUAUGUGUCCUCCAACGCCUUUUCAAUAUUCACCACCGUUUUUUGAAUCUUCACUGUAUCCUCUGUCGUGGCUGUUCUCUUUUAGCUUACAAACCUGUCUAACUUGUCCUCAUCCUUAAAAUGAAUCUGCUUAUUUUGCUGAAUUUGAAGGCAUGUAUUUCCUUCCCUUACUGCUGUACUUCUAGAAUCAGCUGCAGUUUCUGUUUCUACU
rnacentral:lncRNA from 10 species